UGAGGAAUAUUGGACAAUGGGCGCAAGCCUGAUCCAGCAAUGCCGCGUGCAGGAUGAAGGCCUUCGGGUUGUAAACUGCUUUUGUACGGAGCGAAAAGGUCUGCCCUAAUACGGUGGGCUCAUGACGGUACCGUAAGAAUAAGCACCGGCUAACUACGUGCCAGCAGCCGCGGUAAUACGUAGGGUGCGAGCGUUAAUCGGAAUUACUGGGCGUAAAGCGUGCGCAGGCGGUUAUAUAAGACAGAUGUGAAAUCCCCGGGCUCAACCUGGGACCUGCAUUUGUGACUGUAUAGCUAGAGUACGGUAGAGGGGGAUGGAAUUCAGGGUGUAGCAGUGAAAUGCGUAGAUAUGCGGAGGAACACCGAUGGCGAAGGCAAUCCCCUGGACCUGUACUGACGCUCAUGCACGAAAGCGUGGGGAGCAAACA
rnacentral:rRNA from 1 species